UGUUAUAAAUUGUAUGCCAUGUCUGAGGUUUUUCUUUCUUCUCUCUCAUUGUGGUGUUCAUAGCACAAGAGAUUGUGUGUCCUGAAGGCUGGACAAGGUUCCAGGGCCGCUGUUACUACUACAACACUGAAGCACUCACCUGGCCUGAAGCUGAUGCUAACUGUGCUGGUCUCGAGGCCAGCCUGGUCUCCAUCCACAGCCCCCAGGAGUAUACCUUCCUCUUUCAGCAAGUCCCUGUUAAUGGCAUUUCUGCGACUUGGCUGGGAGGUUUCUACCUUGAGGGCGAGUGGAUGUGGCUUGAUGGUUCCUGGUUUUAUCAGGGAUUUUUUGCCGAGCCUUCUCCAUACAACACCAA
rnacentral:lncRNA from 1 species